AUUGAACGCUGGCGGCAGGCCUAACACAUGCAAGUCGAGCGGUUGAAGGGAGCUUGCUCCUGGAUUCAGCGGCGGACGGGUGAGUAAUGCCUAGGAAUCUGCCUCGUAGUGGGGGAUAACGUCCGGAAAUGGGCGCUAAUACCGCAUACGUCCAGAGGGACAAAGCGGGGGAUCUUCGGACCUCACGCUAUCAGAUGAGCCUAGGCCGGAUUAGCUAGUUGGUGGGGUAAAGGCCUACCAAGGCGACGAUCCGUAACUGGUCUGAGAGGAUGAUCAGUCACACUGGAACUGAGACACGGUCCAGACUCCUACGGGAGGCAGCAGUGGGGAAUAUUGGACAAUGGGCGAAAGCCUGAUCCAGCCAUGCCGCGUGUGUGAAGAAGGUCUUCGGAUUGUAAAGCACUUUAAGUUGGGAGGAAGGGCAGUAAGUUAAUACCUUGCUGUUUUGACGUUACCAACAGAAUAAGCACCGGCUAACUUCGUG
rnacentral:rRNA from 1 species